rnacentral:rRNA from 1 species
ACGUACACUCCUGCGGGAGGCAGCAGUGGGGAAUAUUGCACAAUGGGCGCAAGCCUGAUGCAGCCAUGCCGCGUGUAUGAAGAAGGCCUUCGGGUUGUAAAGUACUUUCAGCGGGGAGGAAGGCGAUAAGGUUAAUAACCUUGUUGAUUGACGUUACCCGCAGAAGAAGCACCGGCUAACUCCGUGCCAGCAGCCGCGGUAAUACGGAGGGUGCAAGCGUUAAUUGGAAUUACUGGGCGUAAAGCGCACGCAGGCGGUCUGUCAAGUCGGAUGUGAAAUCCCCGGGCUCAACCUGGGAACUGCAUUCGAAACUGGCAGGCUAGAGUCUUGUAGAGGGGGGUAGAAUUCCAGGUUUAGCGGUGAAAUGCGUAGAGAUCUGGAGGAAUACCGGUGGCGGAGGCGGCCCCCUGGACAAAGACUGACGCUCAGGUGCGAAAGCGUGGGGAGCAAACAGGAUUAGAAACCCCGGUAGUCCCAUGA